rnacentral:rRNA from 1 species
AGAGUUCGAUUCGUAGGUGAGCCUGCGGAAGGAUCAUUC